CCAGCUUCUAUGUGUGAAUUCUGUUUAAAACAUUUUCAACUUCUUACUGGUAUUUAUGCUGGACUAUAAAUAAUAGUUUCAGUUUUCUACCUGAAUGCAGUUAAACUAAUGUGUAAGUAUCCAGAAACAGAGCACAGAGUUGUUUGAUCGUGCUUCGUAGAUUUAAUUUCUAGGCUAGAGAAGUAUCUGAUCCAGUGGCUGAAAUUUUUAUUCUAAAUGCAUCUAAAGGUUUCUCUUAAGAAGAAAAACUUCAAGCAGUCUCCUGUGAUUUAUCCUACUACCAUCACAGAGUUGAGAAGUUAAGUUGUAGGUAAGCUGACAGAAAUGAGUGGAAGUAGGCUGAAUACAGCGAUCAGCUGGUCAAGUGGCACAGAGAAGAAAAACAAACCAGUAACACUGUUUAGUCCAGAAACGAUUUCCUGCACGGCACAUACCCAUUUAUAACUUGACCUUUGCCCAAUGUGCUUGCCACUCUUUCAAACAGACUGUAACCAAGUUUAAUUAACAAUUGCAUGCCACUUAAAAGCUUUUAAAAAGAAAUAAUGUCAGGUAACUGAAGGACUGAAGACAUUAAGCACCAGUGAAAGUAGUAAAGGCUUCCCAGUAAAGUGUUAAAAAAAAAAAAAAAAUACAGUUAGUACCCUACCGUACCAAGAAACGAGAGAAGGCUUUUCUCAUCUUCUGUGCUGCUAUCCAGCCAUUCGGCCACAUCACCAGGAGAAAGAAGACUCAUUCUCCAGCCAGAAAACUUUUCCAUACAGAAAACAGUUGAUCAAUCUGUGAAUAGGAAGCUCCCACCCCUCCCUCUCCCCUCCUCCUGCAUGGCGGCGGCAUUGAUCGGCAAUAAUGGAAUCUGCUUCUGACUGCCAACAGCAGCAUUAGAGAGGGGGGAACUGCUCCUCUUCAUCAGCGCGAAGCAGCAGUCACAGCCCCGCUGGGCUUCAGCCUCGACUGCAACAGGGCAAACGAGAAAGAGUUGAAUAAAGACACGUCUUCCAGAAAAAAAAGAGACAUCCGAUUGUAAAUAGACACUGCAAAGAAUAAAGAACCAGUCUGUUCCCUUGGAUGUAUCAAUAAAGAGAUGCUUGAGGAGAGCAAGGCUGGGAGUCAAACCAUCAGCUGAAGAGCGAGUGAGACAGGUACCUGCACCCAGACCACAGAGAAUGUCCAGCAUUGUAUAAGGAAAGAAACUUGGCUCUAUCUAGAGGCUGAGACACCCUUUCUCCUGGAAUCAAAUGAAUGUAGAGACAACUACAGCCUCUGUUCUAGAAAAAGGACCUGGCCUUCACAGUUUCAGUGCAACUGAGGUUGAAAACCUGACUGAAGCCUACUCCAAAAAGGAUCAAAACAAGCAGGGAAAUGAAUGUAAAAACCAAAUAUUUUCAAUCUCCUCUUUUCUAAGCCAGACUUGUGUUUUUGAAUGCUUGUGGUUGGUGCCACUUUUGAAGGUUGCCUGGAGGCCUACUCUAAGCAAAAGCGUCAGCAGAGCUGUUUCAGUUCUCUGGCAGGCAUCCAUGUCACAACAUUGCCCUCCUAAAGACUCUGCUGAGCGUGCUGCGCGGCAUGGUGCAAGAGAAGAAAAAUGCAAUGUUGUCUGUCAUCACUGCAGAUCCACUGCCUGACUAAGGAGCAGCACUCUUCAGCUUUGGAAGGAAACUCUAUACAGACUCAUCACAGCUAUUCGCAGCUGCCAUCAUCUGCUGAGAUAACCAGCUAUUAGACAACUCUGUAACUCAAUUUUUGCAGUUAUGUUUACCACAACAAUUUCAGUACCAUUUCCCAUUAAAUCCAUAACCUAUAUAGUCAAAGUCUGUUGACCACUUAACAUGUGGAGAUGAUACCGUUUAAACUGUAAGCACGGACUGUAGCUGCAUCGUUUGCUUGCUGACUUCUUGUGCAGAGUUCCCUCUCCCUUACUAGAUGCAGCCACCCAUAUAUGUAGACAAUUAAAUGGAAGGGGAUCAUUACGUCUCCCUUCUGCCAUUGGUCCGGUUUCAAAUCCCACCAUUAUUAGCCCUCCUAAAAAACAUUUGCUCUGUCUGAUGCCAAUUAGCCAAGAAAUCUAGAUAAAAGGAAGUAUUCUCUUUGUUGAGAAUUAAAGCUUUGAAAAAGUACGUACCUCUACAGGCUGGGAAACUAAUCUGCCUCUUGCUGCUAACAAGCCAUUUACAAAUGCCAUCCAUACCCUGUAUUUUGAUGCAUCACAGAAUUCUCUGACUUCCAAUAUUAUGUAGCUGGUGCAAUACUUACUCCCAGAUAUCAGAAAAUGGGAAGGAGCAGGUCAAGCCUCAGUAUACCAGAACGCCCCUUCCUCCUGCUUGUAUACAAAUGAAGCUGAUUUGUUCCCAUGAGCUUUAAAGAGCCAUGACAGAUCUCUCUGACAGAAGUCACCUCAAGUAUUUGUUACAAUUACAGCAUUUUCCCCUCACCACAGAUUUUAGAGAGAGAAAAAAUGAGAGCACCCAUAGAGUGUCACAUAAAGCCAGGCACAACAUGAAGAUUUUGCAAGAAUAUAAGUUGCUGCUCACGUCUGCCUUCCAGAACUCCCCAGUAUUGUAUUUUUAAUUCACUACCCUAUUAACAUGUUAAUCCUAUGAAAAAGCCCCCAAAAGAGACAGGAAAUUCUAAAGGCUACCUCCUGGUAACCACCCCAAAAUCACCCAAAUGAAACUUGGAAGGGACCAGGAUCAUGUUGCCUUGAAUUUUUCUCAUUAGUUUGCCAGAAGUUUGCUUGUUUUUGAAAGAAACACAUAUUUGUCCAAAAAAAGCUAAGGCAGAAGGUUUUCAUUUUCUGAUCAUGUAAUUCAAAAGCAGCUGCAGAACAACCUCAUUGGUUCAGGCUAACAAAAACAGUGUCUCCAAGUUAGCAAAUUACUAUUCUUCCUGGUCUACAGAUGAGGAGGAAAAUGACUAAGAAGGACUUUGUAAUCAGUACCUAUUAAAGGCUGUUUCCAAGGUAGAAAAAAUUUAACUCAGGAGUUUCCAUUCCCAGUUUCCUUAGAAAACAUUUAUUGCUUUUGUAGCUACUAAAAAUGCCUAACUAUACCAAAACGCAUGAAAUUUAAAUGCUUUGCAGCUUGCUAUCUCUUAGGAAUAUAUUUUAAGACAAAAGCUGCUAGAAAAGCAAGCAGUAUUAUUAAGGCAGUGCCCUUUAUACUGUAAGGAAAACAAAUCCUCUUGUUUUUAUGAGCAACCUGUAGGAUUCCCUGAACUGCUUUGAUUUACCAUCACUUGCUGGAGGACAGGAAGCAUGAUUGGCAAUAUCAUAUGCUGAAAACAUCACGCAAUGCCAGCCACAAGUAAACGCUGAAAAAUAUUCUCACAGUGUGCCCUUCAAGAAUGAUGUCUGGCCUUAUCCAGAAAUCCAACGUCAUAUAAAAAUGUACUGACUUCUGUUAAGUAAGUAAAGGCUUUGAGGGAGACAGAGAAAAGUAAGCCUAAUGAUUUAAAUAGCAAUAAACUAGAUUUUUUACUUUGAAAGCUAUUACAAAAACUUGUUUCUCAUCUUCGCAUCCACGUUUGAAUACUAACAUGUAAUUUCUGCAUUAGUGAGCAGAAAAGUACCAAUAACCCACUUUUCCAUUCAUCACAUUAAAUCCAUGUAAAUACCUCUUUAAAAACCUGUGUAUAAAUCUGAAAUAACGAAGAAAAGGCUUGAUAUAUACAUGCAACAUGGAAAAAAAACCCUUAAAGUUUCUAGUUGCUUUACGUCUAGUCACUUCAAAUUUCCAGCAAAAUACCUAUGUGCCUCCUAUCCAAUCCCGCCUCACUAGAAAUAUUGCAGCAAUACAGUCCCCUAUUUGCAUGGACCGUGCCAGGAGGGAUCUCUCUCACCUGUGAACUGCAUUCUGCGGUAAUCCUAAUACCUCUACCAUGGUCCUGCCACCAUGCCAACCAGAAAGCGGAGCCUCCGCACGCUUCUCUCCCGCGCUCUGUUUUCUCUGCCUCAGACGGGUUGGAAUGCAGAAAAGCCAGAGCCGAAGCCCGUCAAGCGCAAGCCUCUCUGUUCAGCUCCUUGGCUCGAGUUGAACAAUAGCCGCCCUUUGGUUGCUCGCCUUCCCUCUCAGCAUAUGGGAUGCAUGCCGUCCUCCCUGCAAAUAGCGACAUAAUCUACCCGGGAUGGGGAGACACUUCAUUUUUCCUGUCCCAAGGGAGGG